rnacentral:rRNA from 1 species
CCGGGAAGAGCUCAAAUUUGAAAUCUGGCGUCCUCCGGGCGUCCGAGUUGUAAUCUAUAGAAGCGUUUUCCGCGCCGGACCGUGUAUAAGUCUCCUGGAACGGAGUAUCAAAGAGGGUGACAAUCCCGUGCUUUACACGACGACCGGUGCUAUGUGAUACGUUCUCUACGAGUCGAGUUGUUUGGGAAUGCAGCUCAAAACGGGUGGUAAACUCCAUCUAAAGCUAAAUAUUGGUGGGAGACCGAUAGCGAACAAGUACCGUGAGGGAAAGAUGAAAAGCACUUUGGAAAGAGAGUUAAACAGUAUGUGAAAUUGUUGAAAGGGAAACGAUUGAAGUCAGUCGUGUCCAUUGGGUUCAGCCGGUCCUGCCGGUCUACUCCCUUUGGACGGGUCAACAUCAGUUCUGACCGGCGGAUAAUGGCACGAGGAACGUGGCACCCUCCGGGGUGUGUUAUAGCCUCGCGUCGCAUACGCUGGUCGGGACUGAGGAACGCAGCUCGCCUUCAUGGCCGGGGUACGCCCACGUACGAGCUUAGGAUGUUGACAUAAUGGCUUUAAACGACCCGUC